AACAAGUGAAGAAGCCCGUCCGUCAGGACGGGCUUCUUUGCGUGUGUGGUAACAUUUAAAAAUGUAGGCCUGAUAAGCGCAGCGCCAUCAGGCAACCUGCACCGCCGGAUGGCCGCUUCGCCUUAUCCGGCCUACAUGCACUUAUCAGACAGCGCCGCUACUCACGGAUAAAUUAAAUUCAACAAUGGAUACGGUUUCCCAAGAUCGUCGACCUCCGAACGUCCCGUCACCUUAAAUCCCAUUUUCUUAUAAAAUCCAACAGCUUGUGUAUUUUGCUCGUUAACAUUGGUUGUCAACCCCGGCGCCAGUGUUAACGCAUGUUCAACUAAUCUCUUACCGAU
rnacentral:rRNA from 1 species